rnacentral:rRNA from 1 species
CAGUCGCCACGGUAAUACAGAGGAUGCAAGCGUUAUCCGGAAUGAUUGGGCGUAAAGCGUCUGUAGGUGGCUUUUCAAGUCCGCCGUCAAAUCCCAGGGCUCAACCCUGGACAGGCGGUGGAAACUACCAAGCUGGAGUACGGUAGGGGCAGAGGGAAUUUCCAGUGGAGCGGUGAGAUGCGUUGAGAUCGAAAAGAACACCAACAGCGAAAGCACUCUGCUGGGACGACACUGACACUAAGAGACGAAAGCUAGGGGAGCAAAUGGGAUUAGAUGCCCCGGUAGUCCCUGUCUCUUAUAC